rnacentral:rRNA from 1 species
UGGGGAAUCUUCCGCAAUGGACGAAAGUCUGACGGAGCAACGCCGCGUGAGUGAAGAAGGUUUUCGGAUCGUAAAACUCUGUCUUUUGGGGCGAACGUGAGUAUGGUGAACAAUCAUAGUCAGUGACGGUACCAAAGGAGGAAGCCACGGCUAACUACGUGCCAGCAGCCGCGGUAAUACGUAGGUGGCAAGCGUUGUCCGGAAUUAUUGGGCGUAAAGAGCGCGUAGGCGGGAUAGUCAGUCUGUUGUAAAAGUGCGGGGCUCAACCCCGUGAUCGCAAUGGAAACAGCUAUUCUUGAGUGCAGGAGAGGAAAGUGGAAUUCCCAGUGUAGCGGUGAAAUGCGUAGAUAUUGGGAGGAACACCAGUGGCGAAGGCGACUUUCUGGACUGUGUCUGACGCUGAGGCGCGAAAGCCAGGGGAGCGAACGGGAUUAGAUACCCCGGUAGUCCUGGCCGUAAACGAUGGGUACUAGGUGUGGGAGGUAUCGACCCCUUCCGUGCCGGAGUUAACGCAAUAAGUACCCCGCCUGGGGAGUACGGUCGCAAGACUGAAACUCAAAUGAAUUGACGGGGUCAUAGCUGUUUCC